UUUAUGUUUCAAAUAAUUUAUUGCCGUAGGAUGGGACUGCGGCCUAUCAGUUUGUUGGUGAGGUAAUGGCCCACCAAGACUAUUACAGGUACGGGCUCUGAGAGGAGUAGCCCGGAGAUGGGUACUGAGACACGGACCCAGGCCCUAUGGGGCGCAGCAGGCGAGAAAACUUUGCAAUGUGCGAAAGCACGACAAGGUUAAUCCGAGUGGUUUCUGCUAAAGGAACCUUUUGUCAGUCCUAGAAACACUGAUGAAUAAGGGGUGGGCAAGUUCUGGUGUCAGCCGCCGCGGUAAAACCAGCACCUCAAGUGGUCAGGAUGAUUAUUGGGCCUAAAGCAUCCGUAGCCUGCUUUGUAAGUUUUCGGUUAAAUCCAUACGCUCAACGUAUGGGCUGCCGGGAAUACUGCAAAGCUAGGGAGUGGGAGAGGUAGACGGUACUCGGUAGGAAGGGGUAAAAUCCUUUGAUCUAUUGAUGACCACCUGUGGCGAAGGCGGUCUACCAGAACACGUCCGACGGUGAGGGAUGAAAGCUGGGGGAGCAAACCGGAUUAGAUACCCGGGUAGUCCC
rnacentral:rRNA from 1 species